AACGAACGCUGGCGGCAUGCCUAACACAUGCAAGUCGAACGAGAACUUCGGGUCUAGGUGCGCACGGGUGCGUAACGCGUGGGAAGCAGCACGUAGGUAAGGAAUAACUCCCCGAAAGGGGUGCUAAUACCGGAUAAGGUCUUCGGACCAAAGAUGUAUCGCCGUUGGAUGGGCCCGCGUUGGAUUAGCCGGUUGGUAGGGUAAAAGCCUAGCAAGGCGGCGAUGCAUGGCUGGUCUGAGAGGAUGCUCAGCCACACUUGGAAUGAGACACGGCCUAGUCCGCUACGCAAGGGAGGAGAAGGGAAUACUGGACGAGGAGCGAAAGUCUGGUACCGCCGCGUCGGGUGAGACAGGAUGCGCUUAGGGUUGUACUGCCGUUUGACACGGGGUGAUAGUGACGGUACCGGGAGAAUAAGCUCCGGCUAACUACGUG
rnacentral:rRNA from 1 species